CUCCGCUGGGGACCAGGAAAGCUGGUACACUCAGCCCGUGAGGUCUGAGGUCGGGAGCGUAAAUGUAUGUGAGCGACUGAGGAUACCAGAGUGCGCAUUGCGUCCGGCUGAGAGGCGGUCUGUAGCUGCCAUUGCUGUGAGCAGCUUUGCUCCACCACAUACUCCCCACUGUGAUGUUGUGCCCCUGCCACAAAGUGAUGGAGCCAAGCAACCAUGGACUGAAACCUCUGAAACUGUGAGACAAAAUGAAUCUUUCUCUCUCUCUCUUUUUUUUUUUUUGCUGCUGGGAUCCAACUUGGGACCUUGCACUUUCGAGGCAGGUGCCGGCACCACUGAGCUAAAUCCUCAGCCUACUUUUCUCCUUUUAAAUUGAUUAUCUCAAAUGUUUUGUCACAGCAAUGGAAAGCUAACAGAACUACUGUAUCUCCCUCUACUGGGUGCAGUCACAAUUCAGCUACCAUAAGACAAUACAAGUUCAGUAUUGCCACAGUUUCAUGUUGUUCAAGAGUAGCUGAAUGUGGGCAUUCAAAAUGAGGCCUGCUGCCAGCCCUAUGAUGCACCAAGAAACAGGACACAGUGCAAUGUACUGCCUCACAAAUAAGCAGAUGCUUCGUGUGACCUUGACAAAA